AAGUGCUGAGCACAGAGACUCAGGUUUGUUAUGGUUCAUUUAAACACCAGUAACCAGCUCAUCACUGCCCAAACCCCCUCAUAGGAAGGAACAAGCCCAUCAAGAACCACUAACGAUAGGAAACUUUCUGAGAGUCUGCAUCUUAGAAAUAAGCACAUUUUGUGGGAGGCUGAACAGUUCUUACCUACGUUUGGUGUACACAGAGUUUCUCUUGCUUACAAGACUAGACUUUUCAGUUCUGAUGAAGCAGGACUCCCCAGCUGUGACCCACCAGGGGUGCUUUAUGUACAGCCCCAUGGGGCCAACCCCCUGCUGGCCCUGGGGCUUUCAUGGGAGGCAUGUUGUCAGGACUCAGACAGUGACAGACAGAAGUGGUGGUGUGUCUGGUGGCCCUCACUAUUGUGUAUGAGCUGUUACAGAACUUGGCAGAGACUUGGUGAAUGGAGCCGGUUUGUUCAACCAACUGCUUGGUGAAUGAAAAAAUUAAUAUAUUACUGAAUGAAUGAAGAGCCAUAUGCUGGAUACCCUGACAGUUUACUGGGAUUGUUCCAUUUCAUGCUCAGAAUGUACUCGGAGUGGAGCAAAUGCUCGGAUGAGUUGAUGCCCAGAGGGGUGAGGUUACCUCUGGUCAUCCUGGUCAGUCUCAGGUCUCCCUGCUCCUUGUGCUGCCCUGAAGAAUAGAGAGCUCCUAGCCACAGGGACCUCCCCUUCCUGGACUGUGGGUUUGCCACAACCCAGUUUUGGUGCAUCUCAAGGAGGCGGGGCAGGGAGGAGCAAGCUGCUAUCCAGGUAGGCAUGGCAUGUUGAACCUUCCUGUGGACACAGCAAGAUGUGGGGCCACGGAAAGGGGUUAUGGUGCGGGGAGCAGAAGCUAAGGUGUGUGUCCUUGCAACCCAGGCCCUCUGUUUCUACUGAUGUCACCAGCAGUGCUCAGGCAUUACUGAGCUGUGCAGUGGUGGCAAGGUCCACGCCUUGCUUCAUUUCAUCCUUGCCUUGCAGGAGAGAAGCCCUCAUCUCUGGUUUCUUGAUCCUGAGGCCAAAACAUGGUAGAGGGCCAGUGAAGUGUCCUAAGGUCACUGGGAACAAGCCAAGGCAGCUGGCUCUCCCCAUAGACCUCUUGGCUCCAGGGCCCCACCCAUUCUAGGUUGACUUCUUACAGGCUACUUGAUCCUGGAGCAGCUGCUGUCCUUCAUGAGCCUGUCUGGCCUUCCACUCCCAAGCCUAGCCUGUUCACUGGUCCCUACUGGUGUCUUACUGUUGACUCAGUGCCUGAGAUGAGAGAUCUCCCAGGGCUGGGCAGUAAGGUGCAUGCAAGGCAGUGCUGAUGCCCACGUGGUUCUGAAUACCUGUACCCAGCAACCUGGAGGUGCCAGGCCCCAGAAGCCAACAGCAGCUGUAAUUCAGCUCUGGCUUCUGGGCUUUUGGUUACAUAUACACUUGGAACUGAGUCAUAGGACCUGUGCUGGCCAGAGACAUUUCUAGUCCCCAGAAGGACAUGUCUUCUGUGGCUCCACCCUCCAGAACUAGUCUCAAGGUCAGGCAGGUCAGGGACCAUGGGGCCCUGCCUGUACCUGGCAUCGAUGCGUGACUAAAAGUUCAGGACUGAACAACAGGACCCCUGGAGCUACUAGCUAUGGUCAGCCGGCUGAAGACAGGACUGUAGCCAGCCUAGACCAAAGCGUGGCUCCUCUGACUGCUGCCUAGGGAGACUUUGGAAAGCUCUCCUGCCUUUCUGAGUCUUGUGUGCUCCACAGGGUCAGUGAGGGAAAUGAUAUUUCUCUCGCAGGUUGUAGGUAGGUCAGCUAAAGAGACAGUUCUCUGAGGCCCAGGAUCUGGUUCAGGGUCAGUCUUCCAAUGGCACAGGGCUAUUUGUCACAGAGAGGCAGAACAAAGCAGAGUAAAACAGGGCUACCCGUGGAUCAGCUCUUACACCCCAGAAUCAGACCUAGGGUACAGUCUUGGUCUGUUGCACACUCACCCUGUGACCUUAGACCAGCCUCUUAGAACCUUUUGAGGCAGGACUCCAUGAGAUGGUGCAGGUAUAGGUCUCAGCUCCAUGCUCAGUGGCGUCCAUCACCAGCACUAGCUUCUGCUAGCCUGUAGCCAUACUUCCUCCCUGUAGUGAGGCUGGGCUCUUGGUAUGGGAGCUUCCUUUGAGCCCUAACUCUCCCGGGGUCUCUGCGUGUGGAAUGUGGUCUUUCUAACUCUGUGUCCCCUGCAGUCAGUUACUCGUCCCUCUCGUCCCAUGAGAGUCUUCUUACUGGUGACUCUAGGCCAUGCGUUGAUCCCACACUGUUGUCAGCUUCGAUAGAUGCUUCCUGUAAAGAGUGGGCAGUGAUGGGCACUCUUGCUUCCACCUGUGCUCUACACAUAGGAAGUAGGCACAAAACACCAUUGCCCCACCAGAAACUGGUCUUCACAGAAAUUGCCUACCUUUUAUGUCAGCAAUGUCCAUUCUCGGAGCCUACCAUUAUCACCCAGGUCACAUGCAACCCUCAAAGCUUCCUGAGUGCUUGCUUUAUGACCCAGUGGUGUGGGCAGCCUGCCAGCCUUCCCAGACCUCUGACAAGGCUGUACACCUCAGAUGUGACCCACUAAUGGCAAAUUCAGAAACUGAUGUCAGCUGCCUUAGUCUGUAGUGAAUUAAUACACUUCCAUGAAUUUAUAUGGAAAGAAUGAGCAUUGACCACAUUUUAUGCUAUCGGAAAUUGUACAGUACUUUUUUUGGGUCUUUAUACCUAAGUACCAUAAUUAGUAAGGGAAAAUAUUUUUCUUCUUU
rnacentral:lncRNA from 1 species